UACGUAGGUCCCGAGCGUAGUCCGGAUUUAUUGGGCGUAAAGCGAGCGCAGGUGGUUUAUUAAGUCUGGUGUAAAAGGCAGUGGCUCAACCAUUGUAUGCAUUGGAAACUGGUAGACUUGAGUGCAGGAGAGGAGAGUGGAAUUCCAUGUGUAGCGGUGAAAUGCGUAGAUAUAUGGAGGAACACCGGUGGCGAAAGCGGCUCUCUGGCCUGUAACUGACACUGAGGCUCGAAAGCGUGGGGAGCAAACAGG
rnacentral:rRNA from 1 species